rnacentral:lncRNA from 14 species
GUCCUGUCCAUGAGCAGAGCUCUGUGGCUUCUGGAAGCUUCAAAGGUCAUCAGGAGCAUACAGAAGGGCUAUUUCUGCCAUCCCCUCUCUCCUCUGUUACCCAAGCAUGUCUGACAGAGCUCUUCACUGCUUGCAGAAGAGGUUCACAUAAGGAAGAGUUUUUCCUGGAUGCAGAAAUCUGUGGUUCUUGUGACAUUUUUAGGCACAUCAGCUGGUUCACACAGCCCUUCAGAACAGACCCGAGGCUGCAGCACGUCCAUCAGUGCCUGGGCACUUGCACCAUGUUCUUGGAUAAUUAAAGCCACUUUACAUCAAGGGUGA